UUGAAAUGGAAAUCAAAGUUUACAAAAUCAUCGAUUUACUCAAAGAUCCAUCAUAAGCCUAAAAAGUUAAUUAGUUCAUCAUAAACGAAAUAAACACUGAAUAAAUCAUAGAAAUCAUUCUUUCAAUUACAACUAAUAGUCUAAGAUGAAGAAUAAUUAAAAACACCCUUCUCGUAGCCUAGAAUCGCAAUCGUCCCGAAAAUCUCCUUGAAAUACUCGUCCACAGCUUGCUAUGAAAAACAGAGCUCAAUCUCCGUAAUAUAUCUUGUUGUGUUGUUUUAUUUGUUGUUAAUUAAGUAAUAGAUAUCCAACACACAAGCUCCAGUCGAAAUUCCAUCUCUCUGGAGUUCCAUUGCCAUGCAAUAAGCUAGAAUCCAUGCCCACAAAGAAUUUCAAUCAUAGCAGGACACAACCAAAAUCGACACCCCCCGCCCCGGCGGGGGUGUAUAGGCAAAAUACGCCACCCCGGCUGGCUACCUUUCUGCUAACUGAAAUUUAAGACCUCCGCCCCGGCGGGGGUGUAUAGUAUAACAUUGCCCGCCCCGGUGGGCCUCUAUUCUGCUGAACUAUUUGCUGCUCCUCAAGAUGUUGUCCAAACUUGCACCAAACGACUUCAAAUCAUCCCGAAUAACUCCAAAUACACUUUAAAUGCCAUAACAACCAUCCUACACAUAAAAUAACAUAAAACAAGUAAAAAUGAACAUGAUCACAAGAAUUUAGCAACAAUUACGCAUGAAAUGGACAUUGAUUCGCGUAUAUAAAAUCCACUUAUCAAUACAUUAUAGGCAAAAGGCAGUAAAAAAAAACUAGACUAUAUAAACAUAUUCCACUUGAAAGUGUAGUUUAAUUCUCCACCGGGAAAAAUAAAUUUGAGAAACCAGUAACAUCAGCGGUUAGUAAAAAGCAAUAGACUGAACUGUAAAUCUUCAAAGAAUUUUGGAGAAAUAUCAUCCAUAAAAGAAAAGACUUCAGGAACUCCAUGGCACUGCGUCUUAGCAUGGAAUAAAACUUGAGAAGUUCAAUGUGCUCAAAAGUUUCAUUCACAAAGAUAUAUCCAAGUCAACAACUACUGAAUGCUAAAACCGAUAAACUAAUAUCAGCAUAUUUUGAGUUAAAUACUACCUCCGUCCCACAAUAAGUGAUUUUUUAGGCUUAAUAUUUUUUCCCAAAAUAAGUGAUGUGUUAGAACUCCAAUACAAAUUUUACAAUAUUUUCCCAUAUAUGCCCUCCAUUAUUCUUGACUAUUCAUUUCCUCCAUUAUUCACUACAAUUAAAUGACACUCAUUAACUCUUCAACUCCAAAGAAAGUAUAUUAAGGGUAUUUUUUCCAUUUUAGCUUAUGUAUUGGUAUAUGUGAUUUAAUCUAAAAAAUCACUUAUUAUGCGACGGAGGUAGUAAUUCAUAUUAGUCAGAGUGCCUCAUUUCCCAUCUAAAUUUAUAAUAAGUUAAUAACAGAUGGAAGCUUGUGAAAAACAAUUAAAGAUGAUACAAACAUUUAAUAGUAAUGAUAUAACUGAAGCUUUUAUGAACUAGACCCACAUAUCAUGGAGAUAUGAAGGGCACAAAUAGAGUUUAGAACACAUGAAGCAUUAAAAUGUUAUAUGAAAUUCAACUCAACUCAACAAAUUCUUUUUACCCCAAGCUAGUUAUUUCAACCGACCCUGCAUUUCAAAAUUUCAAUACAAGAUAAGUCCAAAUCAGAUUCAACUGGUUUUACAAAUUUUCAUAUUAACUAAACUUUAAAAUAUAACUAGACAUACGGAUUAAGGGGAAAAAUAAACUUUGUGUUUACUUUUACAAGUACAUUUGUGUAUCUAUGGAAGUGAAAGACAUAAUGAUCUCACUACUCACUCUGAACUUAUGCAGGUGUGGUAACAACUCCCAAAUCCCCAUUAAUGCAAUAUCCUCUAUGGAAGACAUAUUUUAAUCCUUGCUUGGACAUCAUAGACCUGAGAGGAACGAAAACAUCAGUGAAAACUGAUUAAAUAUGAAAAGAAGAGUUCAUUUCAUUGAAAAUAAUUUGUCAUCCCGUGCUUGAAGUUCCUUCAAAUUGAGAAAGAAAAUAAAAGAACUGAAGUACUAUAAUCUCCGAUGAUGAAAUUUUUGAAGUGAAUCGCUAGAUUCUCAGACGGAGGACCCUAAACAUGGCACCGACCGCACCGAAUAUGAUGGCGAUGAAACCAGAGUAAUCAAACCUGCUUCUUUCCUUGCUUAGAAAGACCUAAUUGCGUAAGGAUGUCCUUUAGCUCCUUUAUUCCAAAAUAUACCAAUUUGACCUACAAGAAAGUACAAGUCAUCAAAAUCAGUUACAGCCAAAGAAAGGAACUUCAAGGGGGGGGGGAGGGCAGAAAAAUUAAUCAUGGACGGAGCCCCUUCCAGUCCUUUGCUGUCACUUUGACGAUGUCUUCUCCAAUUAUUUUUAGGAGAUAGAUCGAGUGGUCCGAUUUUGGGGGCCAAGGAACUUGUUGCCCCAACUUUGACGCCGGUUACCUAGAUGUACGUAGACGUCGACAACUUGAGAUGGAUCAAACUUUAGCGGCAUUGCAGCAGUGAUCGAUAACUAGGGUUUUGUUUUUGUGAGCUAAAGAGAGAAAAGAAAGACAUAUAACUAUGCUCCGCUCUGUGUUUUAAUUUUAAGUAUUCA
rnacentral:lncRNA from 1 species